GACGAACGCUGGCAGCGUGCUUAACACAUGCAAGUCGAACGGAAAGGCCCUGCUUUUGUGGGGUGCUCGAGUGGCGAACGGGUGAGUAACACGUGAGUAACCUGCCCUUGACUUUGGGAUAACUUCAGGAAACUGGGGCUAAUACCGGAUAGGAGCUCCUGCUGCAUGGUGGGGGUUGGAAGGUUUCGGCGGUUGGGGAUGGACUCGCGGCUUAUCAGCUUGUUGGUGGGGUAGUGGCUUACCAAGGCUUUGACGGGUAGCCGGCCUGAGAGGGUGACCGGCCACAUUGGGACUGAGAUACGGCCCAGACUCCUACGGGAGGCAGCAGUGGGGAAUAUUGCACAAUGGGCGGAAGCCUGAUGCAGCAACGCCGCGUGCGGGAUGACGGCCUUCGGGUUGUAAACCGCUUUCGCCUGUGACGAAGCGUGAGUGACGGUAAUGGGUAAAGAAGCACCGGCUAACUACGUG
rnacentral:rRNA from 1 species